UUUUCGGUCGAUUUAUUCAUUUAACAACCUACAACCCGGUUAUGGAUAAUCUUCCAUACGAGUGUAUUAUCCACGUGUUGACGGCUAUAGAUGAUAUGCACUUUUUUUUCCGGUAUUCAGACCGAAGAAGUUUCCGACGAUCAGGUUGAUGCACUUGUUUUUUCCGGUAUUCAGACCGAAGAAGUUUCCGACGAUCAGGUUGAUGCACUUGUU
rnacentral:lncRNA from 1 species